rnacentral:rRNA from 1 species
UACGUAGGUGGCGAGCGUUGUCCGGAAUUACUGGGUGUAAAGGGCGUGUAGGCGGGAAGGUAAGUCAGAUGUGAAAUACCGGGGCUCAACUCCGGGGCUGCAUUUGAAACUAUCUUUCUUGAGUGCAGGAGAGGAAAGCGGAAUUCCUAGUGUAGCGGUGAAAUGCGUAGAGAUUAGGAGGAACACCAGUGGCGAAGGCGGCUUUCUGGACUGUAACUGACGAUGAGGCGCGAAAGCGUGGGGAGCGAACAGG